rnacentral:rRNA from 1 species
UACAGAGGUCCCAAGCGUUGUUCGGAUUCAUUGGGCGUAAAGGGUGCGUAGGUGGUGCUGUAAGUCAGGUGUGAAAUCCCGGGGCUCAACCCCGGAACUGCACUUGAUACUGCAGUGCUCGAGGACUGGAGAGGAGAUCGGAAUUCCUGGUGUAGCGGUGAAAUGCGCAGAUAUCAGGAGGAACACCGGUGGCGAAGGCGGGUCUCUGGGCCGAUACUGACGCUGAGGAGCGAAAGCGUGGGGAGCGAACAGG